GGGCCCCCAGGGCAAAACCGGCGCGAGCCGGUGACGCAAAGCCUCCGGUCUCCCCGCCUUCACGGCCAUGGAGAUAGCGGGGCCGCCAGC
rnacentral:ncRNA from 1 species